rnacentral:rRNA from 1 species
AUGUCUACUUGGAGGUUGUGCCCUUGAGGCGUGGCUUCCGGAGCUAACGCGUUAAGUAGACCGCCUGGGGAGUACGGCCGCAAGGUUAAAACUCAAAUGAAUUGACGGGGGCCCGCACAAGCGGUGGAGCAUGUGGUUUAAUUCGAUGCAACGCGAAGAACCUUACCUGGUCUUGACAUCCACAGAAGAAUCCAGAGAUGGAUUUGUGCCUUCGGGAACUGUGAGACAGGUGCUGCAUGGCUGUCGUCAGCUCGUGUUGUGAAAUGUUGGGUUAAGUCCCGCAACGAGCGCAACCCUUAUCCUUUGUUGCCAGCGGUUAGGCCGGGAACUCAAAGGAGACUGCCAGUGAUAAACUGGAGGAAGGUGGGGAUGACGUCAAGUCAUCAUGGCCCUUACGACCAGGGCUACACACGUGCUACAAUGGCGCAUACAAAGAGAAGCGACCUCGCGAGAGCAAGCGGACCUCAUAAAGUGCGUCGUAGUCCGGAUUGGAGUCUGCAACUCGACUCCAUGAAGUCGGAAUCGCUAGUAAUCGUGGAUCAGAAUGCCACGGUGAAUACGUUCCCGGGCCUUGUACACACCGCCCGUCACACCAUGGGAGUGGGUUGCAAAAGAAGUAGGUAGCUUAACCUUCGGGAGGGCGCUUACCACUUUGUGAUUCAUGACUGGGGUGAAGUCGUAACAAGGUAACCGUAGGGGAACCUGCGGUUGGAUCACCUCCUUA